rnacentral:rRNA from 1 species
AUUGAACGCUGGCGGCAGGCUUAACACAUGCAAGUCGAGCGGGGGAAGGUAGCUUGCUACUGGACCUAGCGGCGGACGGGUGAGUAAUGCUUAGGAAUCUACCUAUUAGUGGGGGACAACAUCUCGAAAGGGAUGCUAAUACCGCAUACGUCCUACGUGAGAAAGCAGGGGAUCGUCGGACCUUGCGCUAAUAGAUGAGCCUAAGUCGGAUUAGCUAGUUGGUGGGGUAAAGGCCGACCAAGGCGACGAUCUGUAGCGGGUCUGAGAGGAUGAUCCGCCACACUGGGACUGAGACACGGCCCAGACUCCUACGGGGGGCAGCAGUGGGGAAUAUUGGACAAUGGGGGGAACCCUGAUCCAGCCAUGCCGCGUGUGUGAAGAAGGCCUUAUGGUUGUAAAGCACUUUAAGCGAGGAGGAGGCUACUCUAGUUAAUACCUAGGGAUAGUGGACGUUACUCGCAGAAUAAGCACCGGCUAACUCUGUGCCAGCCGCCGCCGUAA